GAUGAACGCUAGCGGGAGGCCUAAUACAUGCAAGUCGAACGGUAACAGGUAGCAAUACGCUGACGAGUGGCGCACGGGUGCGUAACGCGUACACAAUCUGCCUUAUACUGGGGCAUAGCCUUUGGAAACGAAGAAUAAUUCCCCAUAAUAUAUAGAAGAGGCAUCUCUUUCAUAUUAAAGCUCAGGCGGUAUAAGAUGAGUGUGCGUCCGAUUAGGUAGUUGGUGAGGUAACGGCUCACCAAGCCAACGAUCGGUAGCUGGUCUGAGAGGAUGAUCAGCCACACGGGCACUGAGACACGGGCCCGACUCCUACGGGAGGCAGCAGUAGGGAAUAUUGGACAAUGGGCGCAAGCCUGAUCCAGCCAUCCCGCGUGAAGGAUGAAGGUCCUCUGGAUUGUAAACUUCUUUUCUUCGGGAAUAAAAAACUGGGGUUCUCCUCAGCUUGAAGGUACCGAAGGAAUAAGCACCGGCUAACUCCGUG
rnacentral:rRNA from 1 species